UACCAGCACCCCGAGUGGUCGGGACGUUAUUGGGCCUAAAGCAUCCGUAGCCGGUUCUACAAGUCUUCCGUUAAAUCCAGCUGCUUAACAGAUGGGCUGCGGAAGAUACUAUGGAGCUAGGAGGCGGGAGAGGCAAGCGGUACUCGAUGGGUAGGGGUAAAAUCCGUUGAUCCAUUGAAGACCACCAGUGGCGAAGGCGGCUUGCCAGAACGCGCUCGACGGUGAGGGAUGAAAGCUGGGGGAGCAAACCGG
rnacentral:rRNA from 1 species